AGAGUUGAUCCUGCUCAGAUGAACGCUGCGGCAGGCUAACACAUGCAAGUCGAGCGGAAACGAGUUAACUGAACUUUCGGGGAACGUUAACGGCGUCGAGCGGCGGACGGGUGAGUAAUGCCUGGGAAAUUGCCUGAUGUGGGGGAUAACCAUUGGAAACGAUGGCUAAUACCGCAUAAUAGCUUCGGCUCAAAGAGGGGGACUUUCGGGCCUCUCGCGUCAGGAUAUGCCCAGGUGGGAUUAGCUAGUUGGUGAGGUAAUGGCUCACCAAGGCGACGAUCCCUAGCUGGUCUGAGAGGAUGAUCAGCCACACUGGAACUGAGACACGGUCCAGACUCCUACGGGAGGCAGCAGUGGGGAAUAUUGCACAAUGGGCGCAAGCCUGAUGCAGCCAUGCCGCGUGUAUGAAGAAGGCCUUCGGGUUGUAAAGUACUUUCAGCAGUGAGGAAGGUGGGUAUGUUAAUAGCAUACUCAUUUGACGUUAGCUGCAGAAGAAGCACCGGCUAACUCCGUGCCAGCAGCCGCGGUAAUACGGAGGGUGCGAGCGUUAAUCGGAAUUACUGGGCGUAAAGCGCAUGCAGGUGGUUUGUUAAGUCAGAUGUGAAAGCCCGGGGCUCAACCUCGGAAUUGCAUUUGAAACUGGCAAACUAGAGUACUGUAGAGGGGGGUAGAAUUUCAGGUGUAGCGGUGAAAUGCGUAGAGAUCUGAAGGAAUACCGGUGGCGAAGGCGGCCCCCUGGACAGAUACUGACACUCAGAUGCGAAAGCGUGGGGAGCAAACAGGAUUAGAUACCCUGGUAGUCCACGCCGUAAACGAUGUCUACUUGGAGGUUGUGGCCUUGAGCCGUGGCUUUCGGAGCUAACGCGUUAAGUAGACCGCCUGGGGAGUACGGUCGCAAGAUUAAAACUCAAAGGAAUUGACGG
rnacentral:rRNA from 1 species